ACAGCAUGAGAAACACCUGGGAAUUUGUUAGAAAGCCAAUUUCUCAGGCCCCAUUUGAGACCUACUAAACCAGCACCUGCAUUUUAGCAGGAUCCCCAGAAGACCAGCAAGCCCAAUACAGCUGAGAAGCCCUUCUCUAAAUCACCUAGAGAUAAAAUGACUCCACAGACCAGCAUUAUGAAGAUGAGACCUCGUUGAAUUGUAGAAAUGCCACUGAGCCCUGGGAACCUGGAAUCAGGACAGACCAGAGAAAAUAGACAAUGCUCGUCUCAAUUUGGACUCACCAUGUAUCAAGUUGGACUCACCAUGUAUCAAGUUGGACUCGCCAGAGAAAACCCUUCCUGAGGAUGCUGAGAAAUCCUCCGUCUUCGUGGGAGGGCUCACUGGAGCAUAUUCCGGAAAUGGACGAGGGAGGGAGGUCAGCUCAUUUCGGCCGAUGGUAACUCCAGCCUGACUUAAAUCAGUCAGUUCUGCUAAGAAACAGGCUCCGUGAGUGCCCGGAGGUCAAGGUGGUAUAAAAGCCACCUGCCGUGCUCAUGCCCUGGCUGCCGGAUCAGCCCUGUGGCCAUCGGCGGUCCCACACUGCUGGCUGUCUGUCCAGUCACCUUCUGAGGCAGGACAUGAAAGAGCUGCACCUGCAAUCUGUGUGGCUGUCCACGGGCCCUUUCACCACCUCCAUGAAAGCCAGCAUCUUUUGCAAGACACUCAUUUCCCUUUGCAGCCAUUUGCAGUAUUUCAGCACUGUGUUGUCCACUAUUUACAACAGCAGACCAUCCGGGGAAGAAUUCAUGAACAAAGACUUGACUUUAUGUGUUGGGUGGACCCAGCCAGGAGGCUGUGGGAGUGGGGACGCAUUUGUAUUAGUGGUCAGAUUUUUAGUAAAUAUUUAAUCUUAUGAUGACUUUUGCCUUCCUAAGCAGUAUGGCAACAUGAGGAAAUCCCAUGAUCAAUUGGAUAACAGAGAUCUGUUAUGUUAAAUAAAUCUGGUGGACUGAAUUCCAACGACUUCCAACUUAACCCACUAUU
rnacentral:lncRNA from 1 species